GCAAAGCUCCUCAUAGCGCCUGUGAAAUGUUAAAGGAAGGGGAUUGCUGACAAUACAAGCCAGAAAGAGCUUUUGCCUGAAAUACUCAGAUAAUUCGACAAUGGUUGUUUUGAGCAACCUGGAACCAAAUACAACUUAUGAAAUCAGGGUUGCAGCUGUAAAUGGAAAGGGACAAGGAGACUACAGUAAAAUAGAAAUCUUCCAAACAUUACCAGUUCGUGAACCAAGUCCUCCAUCCAUACAUGGACAGCCAAGCAGUGGAAAGAGCUUUAAACUCAGCAUCACCAAACAGGACGAUGGAGGGGCCCCUAUUUUGGAAUACAUUGUGAAAUAUAGAAGU
rnacentral:sRNA from 1 species